rnacentral:rRNA from 1 species
UACGGAGGGGGCUAGCGUUGUUCGGAAUUACUGGGCGUAAAGCGCACGUAGGCGGCUUUGUAAGUUAGAGGUGAAAGCCCGGGGCUCAACUCCGGAAUUGCCUUUAAGACUGCAUCGCUAGAAUUGUGGAGAGGUAAGUGGAAUUCCGAGUGUAGAGGUGAAAUUCGUAGAUAUUCGGAAGAACACCAGUGGCGAAGGCGACUUACUGGACACAUAUUGACGCUGAGGCCCGAAAGCGUGGGGAUCAAACAGG